UCAUAUCUCCUCUUCCUUCUGUCCCUGCUUCGUCAUCUGUCUACCCCAGCCUGGGUCCCUGUUUAUCCCCCAGUUCUGAUAUAUUCCAGUCCCUGCAUAGCUUCCUCUGUAGUGGAGUGUGCAUGUGUGUGCACACCUGCAUGCGAAUUUUAUUUCUACCCGGCCCCUCCUUCUCCCUCCUGUGUCCUCCAAAUACUGUUACAGUUAAGCCCCCCUUGUACUGGGGAAAUGGAACCAACUGUGGUCGAGGGUAGUCUAGGGUACGGGGCAAGUUUAUAUUAGUAGCUGGAGCAACGGGGCAAAAUUGAUUAAUAAUACCUUGGUGACGGGGCAGUAUUGAUUAAUGUAGCCCUGGUAACUUUGUGUCUGUAUCCCAGGUAACUUUGUGUGUGUUUAGCCAACCGUUUUGUAGUUUCUGUGUAUAACAGACUUGCCUAGAAC